GUGCAAGUCACUACACCCAGCUGAAUCAUAGGCCUGACAACACUGGCAUCAUCAUUAUUGACUAGAAACCAUUUACUAAGUGCAGGAUGCACAGAUAUCUGCUGUCUCUUGGCAGAGCUGUAUUCAGGAGGGACAGAUGGUUUGAAGGCAAAAAGUCAGACAGACGCUGUAAUGGAACCCUGUCCUUGCCAAUGAGGUUUUUGAAACCAUGAAACACAUUAUCCAGGAAAACUCGUUUUCUGUGGCUUAAUGCACCUAUUCCAUGGGAAGACAUUAUUACACAAGAUUCUGCACAUUCAACACAUUUGGACAUGGUCUGGGAUGUUUUGGAGGCUUAGCUUUGUUUAUACAUUAUUUCACAUGUACAGACCAACUUGUGCAGCAAAUGAACUGGUUGAACGUGAUAAAGGGAUUUGCCUAUAAACUUGUUAUCUUCACCAUUUUUUAAAGUAGAGCUGCUUUCUAUGUUUCUUUUUUUUACCAUUAAAAAUUUUAUUUUUGAA